rnacentral:rRNA from 1 species
UGAAGAUGGCGACCGGCGCACGGGUGAGUAACACGUAUCCAACCUGCCGAUAACUCGGGGAUAGCCUUUCGAAAGAAAGAUUAAUACCCGAUGGCAUAAUAGAACCGCAUGGUUUGAUUAUUAAAGAAUUUCGGUUAUCGAUGGGGAUGCGUUCCAUUAGGCAGUUGGUGGGGUAACGGCCCACCAAACCUUCGAUGGAUAGGGGUUCUGAGAGGAAGGUCCCCCACAUUGGAACUGAGACACGGUCCAA